GAAGAUCUCAGGCAGUGACCCUCUAGAUGGAAGCACUGUCUGUUGUCUAAGAAAAGAUCGUGCAUCCUUUUAGAGUGUUACUGUUUGAGAAAAUC
ensembl:miRNA MIR517C microRNA 517c